GGGCUCUGUUCCAAACGUGCAGUGCAUAAACAAGGAAGGAAAUAAAUAGUGCCUGCUGCUUCCAUAACAAAGCCGCCCAGCGGAGCCCAGAGCCCGAGGCAGUGUGAACCCUAGGUGAGGGGGUGGGGGGACUUACAGAGGUUGCAGAGACUUGGAGAUUUGGAGCCUGGCUCUGCCUGUUCUGCUGAGUGACCUCUCUCUGCACCUCAAUUUCUUAGGAUGCCAAAUGGGGGAAAAGCCUGUUUGGCAAUCGUCAUAGAGAUGGCCAAAGCCAACGCUUCUGCAGAAAUGUUUGGGAAAAUAGGAGAACAUCAUCAAGGUCGGAUGAGGGAGCGAUGAUGGUGGUUUAUUUCUCUUGCAGCUUAGUUAUGUGAUAUUCAAUUUGCUCCUGAAAUCCAGCCGGGAAGACUAGGGAGUAUCUUCUAAAGGAGGUUCAGAGGGGAAGUGUCCAGUGUGACAUCCCUGAGCUGGCACUGCAGGCCACACCGUGUGUCUCCCAAGCCGGUGCUCUUUACUGCACUCCUCUGAGGAAAUUCAAAGACAGCUAGUGCCUGAGGCUGUUCUUCACAAGCCAGAGCAAUUCAAUGUCAGACCAGUGGAAAUCAGCAGACUCACAAAGCCCCAGCCCUGCUCCAGAGGGGACACCUCAUAUCCAAACCACAGCAAUCACCAAUGGUCAAGGAUUUACUCAAUCAUGCCCAUGUAAUGAAGCUUCCAUAACUAUCCAAAAGGACACGGUUCAUAGAGCUUCCACUGCAGAACCUGUGAAGGUGCCAUCAAGGGUGGCACACUCGCAGCAGGCAAGGAAGCCUAGAGCCCCUUCUCCCUUACCUCAUCCUGUGUUCUUCAUCUUCUAUCCUUUGUAACAUCUUCUAUAAUAAAUGGGUAAACACAA